AGCGUACACGGUGGAUGCCCUGGCAGUCAGAGGCGAUGAAGGACGUGCUAAUCUGCGAUAAGCGUCGGUAAGGUGAUAUGAACCGUUAUAACCGGCGAUUUCCGAAUGGGGAAACCCAGUGUGUUUCGACACACUAUCAUUAACUGAAUCCAUAGGUUAAUGAGGCGAACCGGGGGAACUGAAACAUCUAAGUACCCCGAGGAAAAGAAAUCAACCGAGAUUCCCCCAGUAGCGGCGAGCGAACGGGGAGCAGCCCAGAGCCUGAAUCAGUGUGUGUGUUAGUGGAAGCGUCUGGAAAGGCGCGCGAUACAGGGUGACAGCCCCGUACACAAAAAUGCACAUGCUGUGAGCUCGAUGAGUAGGGCGGGACACGUGGUAUCCUGUCUGAAUAUGGGGGGACCAUCCUCCAAGGCUAAAUACUCCUGACUGACCGAUAGUGAACCAGUACCGUGAGGGAAAGGCGAAAAGAACCCCGGCGAGGGGAGUGAAAAAGAACCUGAAACCGUGUACGUACAAGCAGUGGGAGCACGCUUCGGCGUGUGACUGCGUACCUUUUGUAUAAUGGGUCAGCGACUUAUAUUCUGUAGCAAGGUUAACCGAAUAGGGGAGCCGAAGGGAAACCGAGUCUUAACUGGGCGUUAAGUUGCAGGGUAUAGACCCGAAACCCGGUGAUCUAGCCAUGGGCAGGUUGAAGGUUGGGUAACACUAACUGGAGGACCGAACCGACUAAUGUUGAAAAAUUAGCGGAUGACUUGUGGCUGGGGGUGAAAGGCCAAUCAAACCGGGAGAUAGCUGGUUCUCCCCGAAAGCUAUUUAGGUAGCGCCUCGUGAAUUCAUCUCCGGGGGUAGAGCACUGUUUCGGCAAGGGGGUCAUCCCGACUUACCAACCCGAUGCAAACUGCGAAUACCGGAGAAUGUUAUCACGGGAGACACACGGCGGGUGCUAACGUCCGUCGUGAAGAGGGAAACAACCCAGACCGCCAGCUAAGGUCCCAAAGUCAUGGUUAAGUGGGAAACGAUGUGGGAAGGCCCAGACAGCCAGGAUGUUGGCUUAGAAGCAGCCAUCAUUUAAAGAAAGCGUAAUAGCUCACUGGUCGAGUCGGCCUGCGCGGAAGAUGUAACGGGGCUAAACCAUGCACCGAAGCUGCGGCAGCGACGCUGAUGCGUUGUUGGGUAGGGGAGCGUUCUGUAAGCCUGUGAAGGUGUGCUGUGAGGCAUGCUGGAGGUAUCAGAAGUGCGAAUGCUGACAUAAGUAACGAUAAAGCGGGUGAAAAGCCCGCUCGCCGGAAGACCAAGGGUUCCUGUCCAACGUUAAUCGGGGCAGGGUGAGUCGACCCCUAAGGCGAGGCCGAAAGGCGUAGUCGAUGGGAAACAGGUUAAUAUUCCUGUACUUGGUGUUACUGCGAAGGGGGGACGGAGAAGGCUAUGUUGGCCGGGCGACGGUUGUCCCGGUUUAAGCGUGUAGGCUGGUUUUCCAGGCAAAUCCGGAAAAUCAAGGCUGAGGCGUGAUGACGAGGCACUACGGUGCUGAAGCAACAAAUGCCCUGCUUCCAGGAAAAGCCUCUAAGCAUCAGGUAACAUCAAAUCGUACCCCAAACCGACACAGGUGGUCAGGUAGAGAAUACCAAGGCGCUUGAGAGAACUCGGGUGAAGGAACUAGGCAAAAUGGUGCCGUAACUUCGGGAGAAGGCACGCUGAUAUGUAGGUGAAGUCCCUUGCGGAUGGAGCUGAAAUCAGUCGAAGAUACCAGCUGGCUGCAACUGUUUAUUAAAAACACAGCACUGUGCAAACACGAAAGUGGACGUAUACGGUGUGACGCCUGCCCGGUGCCGGAAGGUUAAUUGAUGGGGUUAGCGGUAACGCGAAGCUCUUGAUCGAAGCCCCGGUAAACGGCGGCCGUAACUAUAACGGUCCUAAGGUAGCGAAAUUCCUUGUCGGGUAAGUUCCGACCUGCACGAAUGGCGUAAUGAUGGCCAGGCUGUCUCCACCCGAGACUCAGUGAAAUUGAACUCGCUGUGAAGAUGCAGUGUACCCGCGGCAAGACGGAAAGACCCCGUGAACCUUUACUAUAGCUUGACACUGAACAUUGAGCCUUGAUGUGUAGGAUAGGUGGGAGGCUUUGAAGUGUGGACGCCAGUCUGCAUGGAGCCGACCUUGAAAUACCACCCUUUAAUGUUUGAUGUUCUAACGUUGACCCGUAAUCCGGGUUGCGGACAGUGUCUGGUGGGUAGUUUGACUGGGGCGGUCUCCUCCUAAAGAGUAACGGAGGAGCACGAAGGUUGGCUAAUCCUGGUCGGACAUCAGGAGGUUAGUGCAAUGGCAUAAGCCAGCUUGACUGCGAGCGUGACGGCGCGAGCAGGUGCGAAAGCAGGUCAUAGUGAUCCGGUGGUUCUGAAUGGAAGGGCCAUCGCUCAACGGAUAAAAGGUACUCCGGGGAUAACAGGCUGAUACCGCCCAAGAGUUCAUAUCGACGGCGGUGUUUGGCACCUCGAUGUCGGCUCAUCACAUCCUGGGGCUGAAGUAGGUCCCAAGGGUAUGGCUGUUCGCCAUUUAAAGUGGUACGCGAGCUGGGUUUAGAACGUCGUGAGACAGUUCGGUCCCUAUCUGCCGUGGGCGCUGGAGAAUUGAGGGGGGCUGCUCCUAGUACGAGAGGACCGGAGUGGACGCAUCACUGGUGUUCGGGUUGUCAUGCCAAUGGCACUGCCCGGUAGCUAAAUGCGGAAGAGAUAAGUGCUGAAAGCAUCUAAGCACGAAACUUGCCCCGAGAUGAGUUCUCCCUGACUCCUUGA
rnacentral:rRNA from 1 species